rnacentral:rRNA from 1 species
GUCCUAGCCGUAAACGAUGGACACUAGGUGUCCGUGGUAUCGACCCCACGGGUGCCGCAGCUAACGCAGUAAGUGUCCCGCCUGGGGAGUACGGCCGCAAGGUUAAAACUCAAAGGAAUUGACGGGGCCCGCACAAGCAGCGGAGCGUGUGGUUUAAUUCGACGCAACGCGCAGAACCUUACCGGGGCUUGACAUGGGCCUGUAACGCCGAGAGAUCGGCGCCUCCGCAAGGACAGGUUCACAGGUGCUGCAUGGCUGUCGU